rnacentral:rRNA from 1 species
CAAGUCGAGCGAACGGACGAGAAGCUUGCUUCUCUGAUGUUAGCGGCGGACGGGUGAGUAACACGUGGAUAACCUACCUAUAAGACUGGGAUAACUUCGGGAAACCGGAGCUAAUACCGGAUAAUAUUUUGAACCGCAUGGUUCAAAAGUGAAAGACGGUCUUGCUGUCACUUAUAGAUGGAUCCGCGCUGCAUUAGCUAGUUGGUAAGGUAACGGCUUACCAAGGCAACGAUGCAUAGCCGACCUGAGAGGGUGAUCGGCCACACUGGAACUGAGACACGGUCCAGACUCCUACGGGAGGCAGCAGUAGGGAAUCUUCCGCAAUGGGCGAAAGCCUGACGGAGCAACGCCGCGUGAGUGAUGAAGGUCUUCGGAUCGUAAAACUCUGUUAUUAGGGAAGAACAUAUGUGUAAGUAACUGUGCACAUCUUGACGGUACCUAAUCAGAAAGCCACGGCUAACUACGUGCCAGCAGCCGCGGUAAUACGUAGGUGGCAAGCGUUAUCCGGAAUUAUUGGGCGUAAAGCGCGCGUAGGCGGUUUUUUAAGUCUGAUGUGAAAGCCCACGGCUCAACCGUGGAGGGUCAUUGGAAACUGGAAAACUUGAGUGCAGAAGAGGAAAGUGGAAUUCCAUGUGUAGCGGUGAAAUGCGCAGAGAUAUGGAGGAACACCAGUGGCGAAGGCGACUUUCUGGUCUGUAACUGACGCUGAUGUGCGAA